rnacentral:rRNA from 1 species
AACGAACGCUGGCGGCAGGCUCAACACAUGCAAGUCGAACGCCCCGCAAGGGGAGUGGCAGACGGGUGAGUAACGCGUGGGAAUCUACAUAGUUCUACGGCACAACUGAGGGAAACUUCAGCAAAUACCGUAUACGCCCUAUGGGGGAAAGAUUUAUCGGAAUUAGAUGAGCCCGCGUAAGAUUAGCUAGUUGGUGAGGUAAUGGCUCACCAAGGCGACGAUCUUUAGCUGGUCUGAGAGGAUGAUCAGCCACACUGGGACUGAGACACGGCCCAGACUCCUACGGGAGGCAGCAGUGGGGAAUAUUGGACAAUGGGCGCAAGCCUGAUCCAGCCAUGCCGCGUGAGUGAUGAAGGCCUUAGGGUUGUAAAGCUCUUUCAGUAGGGAAGAUAAUGACGGUACCUACAGAAGAAGCCCCGGCUAACUUCGUGCCAGCCGCCGCAGUAAUAC